UGUGACCUUACAUAGAGGCUCCAGAUCAAAUCUAGGGGGUGCUCGGCCGCGCUGUUCAGGCACUUGAAGACGGAAAAAGCAACGAAGAAACCACGCGGAAGGUAGUUAUAUGUCAACAAGAAAUAAGUUGACAAAUGCCUGUUUUAGUGACUAUCUUUUUUGCUUUAAUUUCCGUUUUCCCGUUUUGUAUCGCCGAGGAGUGCAAAGGUCGAUUAAAGACCCGAAUGUCCAGUGUUGAAAGGAGGCGAUACAAAAUAUCCAAGGUUGAGCUGAUUGUCUAUUGAGGUCUAUUGCUUAUUAGGAACUCCAACGAUCACAAACAAAUUAGCCAGCAUACAACAGUUAAACCAAAAAUCAACAGAACUGUCUUUCCAGCGGUCAGCAAAAUGAAUGUCCUCUUGGAAACCUUAGUUCAUUGUAAUGUCCAUCUAUUACAACAUAGAGGCAUUUGUCAGACCGUUCAUCUGACUCGAGAAGAAAAAUAUCACUGGGGAAAUCGUCCUGAUCACCGGGGCGGGCAGCGGCAUUGGCCGGCUCAUGGCAGAGAAGUUUGCCCCCCCUGGGCGUCUCUGGUUCUGUGGGAUGUCAACCAGGAGGGCAUGAAGGAGACUGCAAGACUAGUGAAGGAGAAAGGGUCCACCACUACCUGUGUGACUGCAGUGACAAGGCUAAAGUCUACCGAGUGGCUGACAAGUAAACUCUCUCACGUCAUCCCGCUCCUCCGCCUACUCCACUGGCUUCCAGUUGAAGCUCGCAUCUGCUACAAGACCAUGGUGCUUGCCUACGGAGCUGUGAGGGGAACGGCACCUCCGUACCUUCAGGCUCUGAUCAGUCCCUACACCCAAAGAAGGGCACUGCGUUCAUCCACCUCUGGCCUGCUCGCCUCCCUACCUCUGCGGAAGCACAGUUCCCGCUCAGCCCAGUCAAAACUGUUCGCUGCUCUGGCACCCCAAUGGUGGAACAAGCUCCCUCACGACGCCAGGACAGCGGAGUCAAUCACCACCUUCCGGAGACACCUGAAACCCCACCUCUUUAAGGAAUACCUGGGAUAGGAUAAAGUAAUCCUACCCACCCCCCCAAAAAAAUAUAUAGAUGUACUAUUGUAAAGUGGUUGUUCCACUGGAUAUCAUAAGGUGAAAGCACCAAUUUGUAAGUCGCUCUGGAUAAGAGCAUCUGCUAAAUGACGUAAAUGUAAAUGUAAACUGUCUGUCAAAGCAAACUGAUGUUUGGAAAAUCUAUUGUGCUGGAGGCACGUUGAAUGAAUGGGAAACGAGGGAGUAGCUGCUUACCAAAUGUCCAGUGUUGCUGAGAACGUAAGUAAAGCCACAUGACAGAUGGUGAUUCCUUGCGAAACUAGAACAUAAAAAUACCAUGGUAUUUUGGAUUUUCACAACGUAAUCCAUAGUAUGCUCCUUUGGAGGAAGGAUCGUUUACAUAUACUUGACAUUUGUAACCUAAAGCAUUACAAAACAUUUAUGGAUUUUAGAACAUUGGUGACAUUUUGGCCUUACCCAGGACUCCUUCAAGACUCCACAAUGUUUAAUCUGUUGGUGCUACAAAGCAACAAAAAAGUUGUAAUAUGAAGCUUUACCCCUUGCACUGUAAUAUGAGUAGUAUUUCGAUUUCAAUUAAAUAUUACAAAAAAUAUGAUUAUGUUACAUUUAUGAAUAUAGAAACAUGAAUAUUGAAAAUAUACUAAAAUAAAUGUACCUUUUCAAUACAUUUUUCAAAGUUAAUGCCUAUUUUAUACAGAGGAAUUGGCAUAGUUGGCAAUGCAACAAAUCACAGCACUCCUUUUACUUGCACAUAUCAUUGCACAUCCUGAAAAUCAGUAACAGGGCGACCAUUUUGAAUCCAUUUUCACAUUCACUCUGUUGUUAAUGUUUACAGAUUGGAUUAUAACUCUAAAAGUAGCAGAGAUCCCACUCUGGAACUUUGAUAUGGCAAUAGUGUGUUUAAUAAUAUAUAGAACAAUUUGCUCAAUCAAAAAAAUGUAUAUUUUCUACAUUCAUGUUUAGACUUUUCAAUAUUCAUAAAUUAAUGUAAGAAUUGUUAUUUAAAUCAAAAUACUACUCAUAUUACAGAGCAAGCAGUAAAGCUUCAGAAGACACACAUUUUUGCUUUGUAACACUUACAGAUUAUCAUUAUGGAGUCUUAAAGGACGCCUGGAUAAGGCCAAAAUGUCACAUUUGAACUUAAAUUAAUUAUUUCUCAAUUAUGCUUUAAGAUACAAAUGUCACAUAUACAGGUAACUGCCAAAAUACAGUAAACAUUUGAGUAAAUGAGGGAUACAAAGUGUAUUGAAAGCAGGUGCUUCCACACCGGUGUGGUUCAUGAGUUAACAUCCCAUCAUGCUUAGGGUCAUGUAUAAAAAUUCCAUUGUUACUGAAUAUCCCGGUAUGGCACAAGGUUGGUAUGACAAUCUUGAUACCACCCAAGCCUACAAAACACCAAAUGAUGGAACAAUGGUGUUGCAUCAACUGUAAAAACCUGUUAAAAACUCCAGGCAGUCUUUUAAGACCCGUUCAACCUGUUACCCGUGUCCAUAAGUACAUAGAAACAAUGUUAAAUAAUCCUUACCAUAACUGGAUUGCCAAGAUGUAAGAGACAAAGAUGUCAUGUGUGUUGAUUCCAACAUGUUUUGAAGUAAAGUGUUUUUAAAUGUUAAAUCCUUACGUCUAUUGACGCACCCGUGUGUCAAUCUACUGUAAGUGACAUAAUAAAAAGAAUCCCCAUCCAAAUC